GCUCCGAUAGUGCAGUGGUUAGCACGCUCCCCUCAAAAGGGUGAAGGUGGUUUCAAUCCCGUUCGACGUUGAAGCU